UCCUCUGUGGCGCAAUUGGCUAGCGCGUCUGACUGUUAAUUGUACAAAAAUCAGGAGGUUGGUGGUUCGAGCCCACCCGGAGGAG
rnacentral:tRNA from 1 species